rnacentral:rRNA from 1 species
CUUAGCGGCGGACGGGUGAGUAACGUGUGGGCAACCUGCCCUACAGUGGGGAAUAAUCAUUGGAAACGAUGACUAAUACCGCAUACGGUCUUCGGGAGGCAUCUCCUGAAGAAGAAAGGAUUUAUUCGCUGUAGGAUGGGCCCGCAUCUGAUUAGCUAGUUGGUGAGAUAAUAGCCCACCAAGGCAACGAUCAGUAGCCGACCUGAGAGGGUGAUCGGCCACAUUGGGACUGAGACACGGCCCAAACUCC